rnacentral:tRNA from 1 species
CCAAAGUGCAAAUUUGGCAGCGCACCAGAGAAGGUGCCGGGGCUUCUCCCCCUU